ensembl:lncRNA
CACACACAUAUACAAGCCACACAUAUACAGAGGCAGACUCUUCUACCCUGUUCUUUUCCUGUGAUGUUGGUAACAUAGCUUUCUUUCUUCCUUAAUUGACUAUGAGGGUUUCUCUAAAUCCACUUUGGAUAUACAGACCAUUUUCAUCCUUGGUCUUUUGUUCCAUCCAAGUUUCUCCUAAUGCUCUCUGUGCAGCCGCACCUGACCUUUCACUGUCCCCAUCUUUCCUCACCAGUCACUUUAAUCCAUUUAGAAAAUAUCAAGGCCCAGCUGUGUGCCUUGGAGGUACAGCUUAUAAACUGUCUUUCUCCAAGAGCUAGGAAAUGUAGAUAAAUGAUCAAACAGUUGCGGCAUGGUGAGAGCACUGUCACACUUCCACUCCUGAUAUGCUCUGUCUCUUUUAGAGCCUGGCAUUGGUGACAUCACACGAGGUCAAGGAAUGACCUUGAUUAGCUGUGAACUAAUGCGUCUUUACUGAUAAAAACAGGGUUUGCAUUGAAUUUUGGGAAGGAAAAGGGAGUCAGUAUGUAUUGAGUGAUGACUCUGCAUGCCAAAUGCUAUGCUGGGCCUGCUGGAAUGCAGCCUCUUACUCAUCACAAUCACCCUAAAAGGAGGGGAGAUUGUAAGAGGUGUAGAGAACCCAAAGGUGGUCCAGCCAGGAAGCAAGACUGCGAGAUCCAUAGGUUCCAUUUCCAUGUAAUUGGUUUUCCUGAGCUGCAGAGUCCUGCAAGGCUGAACUCAUCCCACCCCUGUGAUGUGAGAGCAGUGUGUAAAUGGAAAAGAAGUGGGGAUGCCAGGCUAGCGACAGCACCUCAGCCAUCUGCAGAGCCUGGCGUCAGCCAACAGACUGCGUGAGAGCAUUCCCUGAGGGAAAGGUGCUGUGUCCAGCUGAGAGCAGAUGUCAACUGCUACAUAUUGAGGGAGAUGGCGAGACCCAGUAGGAAUGGUGACAGAGGCAGGCUAUCUGGGGGCAUUCCAGGCGGCCCCUUUCCCAGCUGUGCCACCUCCAACAAUUUACAUACCCCCCCACCCAUAAUGUACUUGUAUGAAAACACAGACACACACACACACACACACACACACACACACACACAGACAGACACACAGACACAGACACACACACACACACACACACACACAGACAGACAGACAGACACACACACACACACACACACACAGACAUACAGUACAUGACAUGAUAUAGAGGACAAUCUACAAGGUAGACAGAGUGUAAUGAUGGAAUGAUAAUGCCAGAUGUGAACCUUUGGAAGGCAGGGAGGCUGAGGCAGGAUGAUUCCUUGAAGCUGGAGGCCAAUCUGGGCUACAGUGAGAUUCUAUCUCAAAACCAAGGCAAGCCAUCUAGAGAGAAAGAGAACAAAAAAAAGAAAGAGAGAGAGAGAGGACGGGAGGUAGGAAGAAAGGAAGGAAGAAGAGUUAGAUGAAAGAAUUCCACAGUGAGCUCCUGAGGGGUCAGGUUCUGUGAGCCCGGAACAAAGGCAGCUUUCAGCAGAUGCAGUAGCUGAGUGCAAUCUUGGAGGAGGACUUGCUGAAGGCGAAGGAAGACAGGUGAAAGAGGGAAGGAGUGAGGCAUCAGGAGGGAACAAAGGAUAUAAAGUGCCGAAGCCUACAUGAAGGAGAUAGGGGAUGUUCAGCCCCAACUUUGCCCUGUCUUUUGAGGCCCCAUAAAACUAAUGGACUUGGGAUGGGAUCCUUUCAAAAGUGCCCUGGAAGCCAGAUGGGAAGCUUAUGUAAUUGUUUUCACUCUAAAGCAAGCUCGGGUGAAAGUAAUGAUGCCUGCUCCUUCCUGCAG